UACAGAGGUGGCAAGCGUUGUUCGGAAUUACUGGGCGUAAAGGGCGCGUAGGCGGUCUUGUAAGUCUUGUGUGAAAUCCCUCGGCUCAACUGAGGAACUGCACGGGAUACUGCGAGACUUGAGUUCGGGAGAGGGAAGCGGAAUUCCGGGUGUAGCGGUGAAAUGCGCAGAUAUCAGGAGGAACACCGGUGGCGAAGGCGGGUCUCUGGGCCGUAACUGACGCUGAGGAGCGAAAGCAUGGGGAGCGAACAGG
rnacentral:rRNA from 1 species